rnacentral:rRNA from 1 species
UGGGGAAUCUUGCGCAAUGGGCGAAAGCCUGACGCAGCGACGCCGCGUGAGUGAUGAAGGCCUUCGGGUUGUAAAGCUCUGUGGGGAGAGAAGAAUAAGUCGUGGCUAACAUCCACGAUGAUGACGGUAUCUCCUUAGCAAGCACCGGCUAACUCUGUGCCAGCAGCCGCGGUAAGACAGAGGGUGCAAACGUUGUUCGGAAUUACUGGGCGUAAAGCGUGUGUAGGCGGUGAGGUAAGUCAGGUGUGAAAGCCCGGAGCUCAACUUCGGAAGUGCACUUGAUACUGCUUCGCUUGAGUACUGGAGAGGUUGGUGGAAUUCUCGGUGUAGAGGUGAAAUUCGUAGAUAUCGAGAGGAACAUCGGUGGCGAAGGCGGCCAACUGGACAGAUACUGACGCUGAGACACGAAAGCGCGGGGAGCAAACA